rfam:Cajanus cajan Scaffold132723_6, whole genome shotgun sequence.
GUAACUUCGGGGGCAUCCUAUAAAAAUUGAAUGAUAUAAAGAUUAGCAUUAUUAGUUCCUGCGCAAGGAUGUCACGCAAAAAUUGAUAAAUGGUCCAAAUAUUU